rnacentral:lncRNA from 1 species
CCAAUUCCUGCACAGGCGGCUACAGCCAACAACCACGGGCGAGUGAACAAGCAGGGUGUCUGCUCCACCUGCCUCUCAGCAGACAUUAGCACCGCAACGCCUCCAACAUCAAGUGCCAGGAGUUCUCGCUUCAUGGAGAGUUUUAGGAAACUACAAGAUAGAACAAAGCAUAUACAUCCUUUGCCAGCUGUCUUUGGAAACCGGCUCUGUUUGCUCAUGCGCAGAAAAAAGCCAAGCCCCGCGCUGAUAUUGACAAGAACAAGAUGAAUGACCCCCUGGAGACCAUAGGGUUUGUAUUCGAGUUUCCAUCACCUUUUCAUCCUUUUGUCCCCCAUCUUGAUUCACAUGCAGAUGAACCGAGACCAACUCUUCACUAAAUAAGCUUUUCACUCCAGUUUGGAAGGUAGAGGGAACAUCUAAAUAUUUAUGAGGCUUUUCUCCCGGGUUUGUGAUGCGC